rnacentral:rRNA from 1 species
UACGUAGGCAGCGAGCGUUGUUCGGAGUUACUGGGCGUAAAGGGUGUGUAGGCGGUUGUUUAAGUUUGGUGUGAAAUCUCCCGGCUCAACUGGGAGGGUGCGCCGAAUACUGAAUGACUAGAGUGCGGGAGAGGAAAGUGGAAUUCCUGGUGUAGCGGUGAAAUGCGUAGAUAUCAGGAGGAACACCGGUGGUGUAGACGGCUUUCUGGACCGUAACUGACGCUGAGACACGAAAGCGUGGGGAGCGAACAGG